UUCACCACAAGAUGGCACUAAAUUUUACACACUGUACCUUUGCUGCUGCUUCAUUUUCCCCCUUGGUGACAAUCAUUUAAGGCAAUAACGUAGCGUCAUCCAUCCUCUGCCAGGAUUUCCUGGUCAAAAGGGAGCGAGAGGAGACCCAGGUUUCCCAGGGCCUGCUGGUAUGAAGGGGAGCCCAGGACUACCCGGUACCCCGGGCUCACCAGGGACAAGGGGACCCCCUGGGCCUCCAGGACCAGGAACAAGGGAGGGAUUCCCAGGAAUACCAGGAAGGAAGGGCGAACCAGGCUUCCCAGGGGUGACAGGCUUCCCCGGAUCGCCAGGUCGUCCUGGGAGUCCAGGAUUUCCUGGGGGCAAAGGAUUGCCUGGAGGGCCUGGAAGAGAUGGACUUCCUGGAGGGCCCGGCUAUAGUGGACA